rnacentral:rRNA from 1 species
UACGUAAGGGGCUAGCGUUGUCCGGAAUCAUUGGGCGUAAAGAGCGUGUAGGCGGCCCGGUAAGUCCGCUGUAAAAGUCAAAGGCUCAACCUUUGAAUGUCAGUGGAUACUGCCGGGCUAGAGUCCGGAAGAGGCGAGUGGAACUCCUGGUGUAGCGGUGGAAUGCGCAGAUAUCAGGAGGAACACCUAUUGCGAAGGCAGCUCGCUGGGACGUAACUGACGCUGAGACGCGAAAGCGUGGGGAGCAAACAGG